rnacentral:rRNA from 1 species
GCAAGGGGCUGAAAUAUCCUAAAGGCACUAGAUGCUAUCUCAUCUUGGAAGCUAAGUAGGGUCAUCUCUAGUUAGCACUUAGAUGGGAGAGCACCAACAAAUACUAGGUACCAUGGGCC